rnacentral:snoRNA from 1 species
AUACCAUAGUGUGGACAUAUAACCAACAUUCCCUUAAAACGCUCCCAUGUCUCAUACAGUGUCUCCAUUGGUUUCUAUUUAAAGCUCAAAAUUUCGUCAAUUUGUUG